rnacentral:snoRNA from 1 species
GCCCCCUGGCCAUGGAUAAAGAGACACCUUGCUGGUGGUGUUGUUAUAUCAGUCAGGGAUUGUACAGUUGUGUUCGUUCUAGCUUGAUGCCUGGCUUGGUGGCCAAAGCUGUUUUAUACCUAGGAUACAUAA